AAAGAGAAGAACAAACUCUGAAAACAGUUCUGAAAACUCUCCAAAGCUGGUUUUAUUUUUUUUUUUUUUUUUUUGAUACGUGGAAACAAAAGGUUCUGCUGUUUCCAAAUUGAAAGGUCUUAUUUAAAAUUAAGGUGACAUUGAAGAGCAUCUACCCAAGGAGCCAUGACAUGGCAUAUUACAAUUGCAAUUGUAAUGCCUGAGAUGCUCAUUCUGCCCUUGGAUGAAGCUACUUGGCAGAUGAUGAGAGCUCUAUGUACUCAGUUGACACACAGAGAACAGUCAAAAAGAAGAUUUACACUGUGUUUUAACCUCAAACUGCUCACAUCAAAACAUUUCAGGGGAUGACAGUGCUUUAUUUUGAGUAUAAUGAAUUUUUACCAAAUCAAAUGUGUCUGGGAUAUACUUUUCAGAAUAAAAAUAGAGGCAGAAGGGUGUUGCAAGGAAAGUCAGACUUCCUGAGGAAAUGACUUAUUUUGCUGAAAUAACAUUAUGUCUUGAAAAAGUGGAAAAUUCACAAUAUUCAGGAUGACAUAGAUUUUUUUCAUGCUCCCUUUCCACAAAGAAAUGAGAUACUAAUUCAUCCCCAAGAAAACCAGAGGGAUUUGUUGAUUUGCUUUGUUUUUAAAGGAGGAUGUAUAUUCAGUCCCAUUGGAAUUAAAAGAACAUCUUCAGACCUGAAUAAAAAUGCGUUCCAAAAGAUGUCAAGAGGAAAGUUUUAGCAGAGCCAGCCUCUUCAAGAGCUUGUUACAGCCAGUGAUCUCAAGAGUGGAAAUUUUACUGAGUUUUUGCUCAUUACCAAAAAAGCUGAGAGAUGAAACAUGGAGAAAUUGUUGCAUGUUUCUGGAAAUCAUACUUCAAAGCUGUAAGUAAGAUGCUUCUCUUGUGUAUAAUAGGGCUCCUGUGUUUCCAUAAUGUGAUAAAAUGUCAGACCCAUCUUUCUACUUAAAAUAAUUUGGCUGUAUUAAAUAUUUGGAGAUAUGUCUGAGCAUUUUUUGUCUCAUUUUUGUUACAGGAAUAAAAUGGAAAACCAUAAUCA
rnacentral:lncRNA from 1 species